rnacentral:rRNA from 1 species
AAUAAAUAUAAGAAUUUAUAUUAAUAUUAAAUUUUAAAAUUAAAACAUUUAUAAAUUUAGUAAUUGUGAUAGAAAAUAUAUUAUUUUUUCUUUAAGUACUGUAAAGGAAAAUAUAAAAAUUAAGAAUUAAAAGUAAUUAUAUUAUGUACCUUUUGCAUCAUGGUUUAGCUAGAUUAAUUUAAAAUUUUAAUUUCUCGAAAUUUAAUGAGCUAUUUUUAACAUUUAUUUUAGUACUAAGAGGUAAUUGUAGAAAAAAUUUCUCUAUAGAUAAAAAUAGAAAUGAUAUUUUAUUCGCAUUAAAUGAUAGCUAGUUCCUAUAAAUAUAUAUAUAAGUAUAUAAGAUUAUGUUACUAUUAAAAUUUUAAUUUACAUAGUAAUCUAGUUCUUUCAAAUUUAUGAGGAUAAGCUCAUAAAUUUAAAUUAAAAUUUAACACAAUUUUUAUCAUUAAAUUUAAGCUUGAAAAUAGCUAUAAUUUAUGGAUUUUGUUAUAAUUUCAUUAUAAAAAAUAAAUAUAUAUAAAUUUGUUUAUAAAUAUAUAGGAAAAUUUAUAAAUUAAAAUAUUAAUUGUAUGUAUGCUAAAAUGAGUAUUAAUUAAAAUAUUUAACAUUUAAAUAUUAAAAAUAAAACUUUGAUAGUUAUUAAUUUAAUUAAAUUAUAUAAAGGAACUCGGCAAAAUAUGGCUUCGCCUGUUUAUCAAAAACAUCGCUCCUUGUUAUUAGUUAUAUAAGGAGUUGGACCUGCCCAGUGAUCAGAUUUUAACGGCCGCGGUACCCUGACCGUGCAAAGGUAGCAUAAUCAUUUGCCCUAUAAUUGAGGGCUAGUAUGAAUGGUUUGACGAAAGCUAUACUGUCUCUAUAUAAUUUUAUAAAAAUUUAUUUUUAGGUGAAGAAGCCUAAGUUUUAUUAAAAGACAAGAAGACCCUAUCGAGCUUAAAAAAACUUUAUAGAUUAUUUUAAUAUUAAUAUAAAGAUCUCUAUAAAAAAUUUUGGUUGGGGCGACUAAGGAACAAAAGAAGCUUCUUUUUAAUUUUUAAAACAUUCAUGUAAUGAUCCAUUUAUUUUGAUUAAAGAAAUUAGUUACCGUAGGGAUAACAGCAUAAUCUUUUUUAAGAGUUCUUAUCGAAAAAAAGGUUUGUGACCUCGAUGUUGGACCAGAAUUUCCUAAAGAUGCAGCAGUCUUUAAGGGUUGGUCUGUUCGACCAUUAAAAUUCUACGUGAUCUGAGUUCAGACCGGCGUGAGCCAGGUCAGUUUCUAUCUUUUAUUAAUUUUAUAAAUUUAGUACGAAAGGACCAAUUUAUUAUAUAAAAUAUUAUAUUAGAUUUAAUAUAAUAGUAAUAUAAAUUUAUUAUUGUU